ACAAUUUUAAAUUUUCUGUAACAAGUAAGAGCUAUGACAUCUAAAAAAACAAGAUAUAAAAUUCAUAAAUAUUUAAAUGUCUAAUGUGAACUAAUUUUGGUUCUCUCUACCAUCGUUCACUUUAUUUUCUUCGGUGGCAUAGUGAAAUCUUCAUCAAAAUAAAAAAAUCAUAAAUAUAUAACUGAAAAGGGAAAAACGAACUUUUUUUUUUGUCAGACCUAACUUAUUAAUUGAAAACUUAGAAUAUUAAACAUAAUCUAAAAAUUAAACAAGAAGUAAAAGUUAUUUAUUGGUUCAACCGGUAUCGGGUUCUGGGUUUUAGUGGGUUUCUAAAGAUUGUGGGUUUUUGUGGGUUUCUAAAGAUUGGGUUUUUUGCAAAACUCAAACCGGAUUUUUCUCGGUCUCCGCGUUUACCAGUUCAACCGCGGGUCCGGGUCAGGUUUCAAAACACUGCUUCUGGGCGACUUACAAGUAAUUAGUCUAGGAAUUCUUCUAUUAGAAGACUUACUUGAAAGUCUUCUGAAUCGAAAAUAUUUAAACCUAUUGGAAUUUUUGUCUCCAUAUAUAAAGAAAUAUUUAUACAUUCUCUCUCCUCCUCUCAAAUGGUUGAAACAAAAAAUGUUAUGUUCCUCAUUCUUAAACUCUCUAACCUCUCUCUAAUCUCUUUGAACUUAUAAACACUAAACUUUCUAUCAAUUUAUUGUUUUUUUGUCUCAUGUCUUUCUUUCUAGUUUAUCUUGUUUUACAGGUUUUUCAUCGCAUGGUUCUUAUCUUCCACUCAUUUAAAGGUAGAUCUAUUAAUUUUAGAUAUGUAUUUUUGUGUGUUCUAUAGAGGUAGAUCUAUCUAAUAUUCCACUCAUUUUUUCUGUUUUUUUAGCCAUUUGAACAUUUUUUGAUAUGCAUGUUUUUCAGAUCUGGGUUUGAUAUACAUGUUUUUCUGGAGCAGACUUUGGAAGACUUAUGGGAAGUCUUCUUGGAAGUCUUUCUUUCAAAGUCUUCUAAUAUAUAAUGUGUUAGAAGACUUCCAAGAAGAUUUCCUGGAAGUCUUCUGACAGAGUCUUCUCACAUGUUUCCCUUUCAUAACAGAUCUGAGCGUUUUAGUAAAUUUUUAUGUCUGUUUUUUCUUCAUUUGGUAAUCUCUUGUUGCAUAAAGUUCUUACUUUUUUUCCAAACUAAAGCUCUCCAAACCCACUCUAAUCUCUUUGACUUGAAAACACCAAACUUUAUAUGAAUUUUUCAUUUUUGUCUCGUAUCUUUCUCACUAAUCUAUCUUUUUGUUGCAGGUUCUUAACCAGAUGGUUCUCAUUUUCCACUUGGAUAUGUAUGUUUUGUGUUUUAUAUAAGUAUAUUGAUAUAACCUUAACAGCAAAACACAAUAAUACAAAAAAAUUAAUCAAAUUUAUUUCAACUAAGGGAGAAGAAUUCUCAAGAAAAAUUAGUCAAAUUUACAAAAGAUAAACUAUUACAUAAGUUCAAAGAUAGAACACUUUCAUUAAAAGUCUUCUCGGAAGUCUUCUUCGAAGACUUAAAUUUAAAGCGAAAAAUUGAAAUAUAAGCGGAAAAUUAUAAUUUAAGCAGGAAACUCAAAAUUUUAAGUGAAAAUUGAAAUUUCAAUUUUUUUGAAUUUAAAAAGUAUAUCUUAUGAUCUAUGAAGACACAUUUUAAUACUUGAUAUUCUUGAAUUUACCUAACACUUUUGAAAAUCAAAUAAACAUAUCUUAAAGUUAUUUAACAAAUUUACAAAAACUAACGUAGAAGACUUCUAUGAAAGUCUUCUGAAAACAUUAAUACACAUGAAUGUCGGUAAACUCAUAAUUAAAACCAAUUAAGUUGUGAAUUUCAUUCAGGAGCUCAAAUAUCGACUAAUAUACAUGAAUUAACAAGAAAAUAUUAAAAAGUCUUUAUAGUUUUAGAGAAAAUGAAAGUUUAUUAAACAUUGACGCAUACAACUUCCACGUAGGUCGUUUGGUAGACUUCUAGGAAGCCGUCCAUUUGGAUUAGUUUUGCAAUUGAUUUUUAACCUAGACGACUUACAUGGAAGUCGUCCAUCUUUGUUUGUUAAAAAACUUUUUUGAGACAACUUCCAUGUAAGUCUUCUAAGGUAAACAAGUUAGUUUUUCAUUUGACUGGAUUGUAUCAGAAAUUUGACUUUUUCUGGAUGACUUACACAUAAGCCGUCUAGUAAAAGAUUAAAAAAUCAAUAUUUUGUUAUACCUCGAUGACUUCCAUGUAGUCGUCUCAGGUUAGUUUUGCAAUUGAAAAAUACAAAAAAAAAAUUAUAGACAACUUACACGGAAGUCAUCCGUCCGUUGACUUACAUGGAAGUCGUCCAAGAUAAGCAAGGUUUGACCAGAAUCUUGGAAUAAAAUCAUGGACGACUUUCGUAUAAGUCGUCUAGAAAAAAAUAAAUUUUUAUGUUUUAUUUUUGUAUUGCAAAACUAACCUUAGAUGACUUACAUGGAAGUCAUCUAGAUAUAACAAAAUAUUGAUUUUUUUAAAAUUUUCUAUUGGACAAUUUAUGGAUAAGCCGUCUAGGAAAAGUCAAAUUUUUGACACAAUCCGGUCAAUUGAAAAACUAACCCGUUUACCUAGAUGACGUCUCAUAUUUUUUUUUUAACGAACAAAGAUGGACGAUUUCCAUGUAAGUCGUCUCUAAAAACACAUUUAAAAGUCAAUUGCAAAACUAACCUCUGCAUUGACCAGAAGAUUUCCAUGUAAAUCGUCUACAACCAGAACUUACCCGGAAGUCGCCUGGGCGAACAUAUCUGAAAAAAUACUGAUUUCAUAGUUUCAACGCGUGAGAUAACUUGUUUAGCACAUAUAAAUAUUCUCAAGCACCCAAAAUCUCAAAAAAAAAGUGACCCACCAAGAAUCGUAAGCCUCAAUGGCUCUAUAAACCAUAAAAAAUUUAGAAUCAAAAUCUUGAGUUUUUUUUGGAUGAAUAUGGAGAGAAAUAGAAAGAGAUGUUGUUUUUAGUUCAUAAGAAUUGAGAAAUAAGAAGUGUAAAUCGAUUUGAUGUGCAUUAAGAGCAUCAAAUUGGUUGCUCACUGUUGUCAUAGACAUAUAUCUGUGCACGGUACCUGUCAUGAAAAACAGUACAAAAACAGCUUGCUCACUGUUGUUAUAGACAGAUAUCUGUGCACGGUACCUGUCAUAAAAAAAAUUAGAAGCUAAUACCAUUCAAAGCGUUACUGAGUACUGAGUAUAGAGUAAAUACUGUGUUACUCCAGAUAUGUUGACUUUCCCACAUUUCGAACACAUCAACGAAGUUGGGCCUUUCCUAGCCUUAGUAUGGCACCCACUGCAUGAUAUGUAAUACCAGGUUGAGCGAUGGACCACAUCAUCAAUCGUAGCCGUGCACUCAAAAAAAGCCUCCUGCACCGCAAAGCUAUAUAAGCCUCAAAGCUUUGGAUCAAUGACUAAGAAAUAUUUAGACCUAGUUGUACCUUAGUAGAUCCCUGCUUGAUGUAGGAGAAUAUUUCUCCUAUGGUCAGUGUCUCACGUUUAGUAAGCACUUCUGCAUUAACCCGAUCAGCACUCUGUGGAUUAGAGCCCAACCUGAGACAGAGUAGUAAGCAUUGAUCCAGUCAGUCAUUGAUAUGGGGUUAUGUAGCGAAAGCGUACAUGUAAACACACAAAUAUAUAUUUACCAGCCGAAGUAGUCGAUCGUAGGUUGGACAUCGUAGUCCAUAAAACACGUGAGGAGGACAUUGAAGUCAGGGCAAGAGUACCUGUUGUAUUAAGAAAAACCCAUUUAAACAACAUAAAGAGUAGAUAUCUAACUGUAAGAAAGCUUUAUUAAAGAUAGAAAUCGUAACCUCCGAGACUCUUAGUGUUAAAGGUCGUAACUAAUAACACAGUGGGGGUAUUUUCGUAUGAUUUGAAUUUUUUGCAGAAGUCUCUUGCAGCCUGGUCCCAAAGGUAGAGCUUCAUCACAGGUCCACUGCAAAAUAUUUUCACUGAAUGGUUAAUAGAAGUAGAGAGAAAGGGUGUUUAAGAAAUAAUAAAAAACAUACUCUUGUGACUGCACAUGAACCAGAAGAUGCCUCGCCCUUUCUAUCUCCACUUCGUCAAGGACUGGGGUCCCAAUGAGACUCUGUCCAUUAACCAGCUUCAUGUGGCCAACAACAUCUAUCCCUUUGUUCAUCAAGUGUGUAAGUAAGAAGAGUACGAAAUAAGUAAUCUACUAUUUCAUGACCACACAAAACCGAAACACACAUAGUAAUGAAGCAGCUAACAGAUCCUAAUCAUACUAUGCUACGAUAGAACCCUCAAAAAAAUUCCAAGACCCGAGUGUAGUAAAAAAUCCUUCCUAAUGUUACAAACAGAAUUAGUGAAUUUCAUUUGUCAUGUUCUGUUCUGAAAGAGUGAUUUCAGAGACUGACAAAGACGAACUAUAUUUCAGAGAAUGAUUAUGACAAACCUAAAACACAUUUUAAGCAAAAUUCGAGAUUUAUAUAUCUGAGCAGCAAGAAAGACUAAAUACCACAUCUAAUCAGCAAGCACUGUAACAAAAAGAUUGUGUGGGGGAUAACAGAGAUUACCGUAGAGGUCUCCUUUGCGAUCGCAGUUAGCUUGAAAAUCCUCAAUGGAAUGAAAUCGGAAUCUGUCUUCAUCAAAAGGGGUGGGACUGUCUUCAAGAACAGACAGUUCAGAGUUCCAUGAGAACGACACCGUCACGGCAUGAUCAGAAACCCGAUACACCGAUUUGUUGCUUGAUCCAUAGAAAUUGUUGAGCUUGUAAACCGAUCCAGGCUUCAUUUUAGGCAAAUAUAUCUCAAUACGUCCUGGCGAAAUGAAUCCUUGGAUAACAGUUCCCUGCGAGAAAAUACACUAACAAUCAAAUUGUUGUUUUUAAUUUUGUAGAGAGAUAAUAAAAUUUGAAGAUUUGACAUUUCAACGAUUAGUUUUCUUCCUAUUGUACUAAAUAUAAGUGGGAUCUAAAUAGCAAUCUAAAUAACAACGAAUCUAAAUAACUAUGUUUGGUGAAAUCAAGUACCUGUUCGUCGAUUAGAAGCAUCUCAAGGCCAAUAAGCGUCUUCUUUAGAGGGUUCCAAGCCUCCCAGAAAUGAAUCAAGCCGAAACGCAGCUGGGUUUCGUUGGGACCCGGUGAGACAUCUCGGAAGAACAUGACUUUUUCAUCAUAAUCGGAGGUGAUAGGGGAUUUUCCAUUCGGUUUCAUUGCCAUGGAUUGAGGUUAGAGAAGUUCUAGGGUUUGAUUUGCACUCAGGAGAGAAAAUCAGUAUAUAAAGUAGAAGGAAAAGAGUAAACGGAGACGAAAUCAUAAAGAAGAAAUUGAUGGAUCCAGAUGUAGUGGAGUAUUGAUUGUGGAGAUGUGGAUCGAGAGAACUGAAACGAUGGAGAACACACUGUGAAGACGAAGAGUUUGAGGCGUAGAUCCUCGUGUUCACCGUCUAGGGUUCUUCUUAAAAAAAAAAUUGUACCGAUAGAUUGUAGCGAUAGGAUAGCAAAGCCCAGUGUUAACCGACGAAGCCCAGCGGAAGCACAUCGAAGCCCAUAUGAAAUCAAUAGUUUAGUUUAGUAGAUCCAACAUGUAUUAAUUAAAUGUUUUGAUUGGCCAAACAUAUAUGUCAACGUAGACAUGUUAGAAUCCUUCUAAAUUUGCCUUUUAGUAUAGGUUAGAUUAGAUUGAUUAAUAAUCUAUUGUCAAACAUAAUUAACAUUUAGAGUAUAUUUGGUUUUAUAGGAUAAUUUGCAAAAUCUAUCAAAGCAGUUAUACAACGAACAAAUCCUUACUAAAAUUAAGGUCAAAUUAAAAUAUGAGAUUCUCUUGUAAUUUGCAAACCGUCAAACUGUAAUUCUGUUAAAAUUUGAAAUUAUCAUUUAAAUAUAAUUUUUUUAAACAUAUAGAAUAGCACGUAAGUUGAGACAUUUUAGUAUAUGUUGCUCAAAUUAUAGUACACAUUUGCAAGACUUAAAAAUGAUAUUGUUAAAUGACUACAUGCAUUUAAAUAUAUAGUUUUGGUAUAUAAUAAGAAAACAUGUAAUAAGUAAACAUAGACACAUUUGUAGUGCCUAAAUUAAACACUUUAUAUAACUACACACAGCUGAUAUCACACGUUUCGGUAAGUAUUUCAAACACUUUAUAUAACUAGAUUAAGAUCUGUAUCUUGCACGGGAUGUGUCUUGCACGGGAUGAGACUACUUCUGCAUUGUGAAUUUUAUAUAACAUGAGUGAAAUAUAAUUUUUCAUAUCUAGAAAAAUGUUAAUCACUGGUUCUUGGUUCAAAUUGAAAUUUUCGAGUUAGUCAAGAUGGAUUCUCUCCUAGGUCAAAGGCUUGAUAAGUAUGUUGUGGAGAACAAUGAGAAUAACUAUUCAGUAAUUGUAGGGGAUUUAAUAUAAGCAGAGAUGUCAUAUUUGAAAGGUUUGCUUCUACAUGUAUGACCAGGGCCGGCUGAAGUAGUAGGGCGAGCAGUGCCCCGGCUCCUGGCCUACAAUUUGUUUUUUCAAAAAAUAGUUAAUCUGAUAUUUCUAAACAAACAUAAUUUAGAAAUAUUGUUCAAUAACAAUCUGAUUUUACGGAAACCAAAUCUCAUUAUGCUAACUUAUAGUAUAAAUUUUCACCUAAAUUAAUAAUUUAGUAAUAAAUAUAAUGAAAUUAGCAUUAAUUGUAGUUAGCCGUUAAGUAUUUCUGGAAUAAAUUUAUUUAUUAAGUCGACUACUUCUUUCUUUUUUACAUAAAAUAAUUCUUUCUACAAACUUUUUCUAUGCGAGGCAUAAUUUAAUUUUAAAUGCCAUAGUUUAGUAAAAUAGUUUAUUCUUCAAAGAUUCUAACUUCAACUGAAAAUUGGAUUAAAUAAAUUAUUUUCUAAGAAUUUCAUUAUGAAUUUACGUUUGCUGUCAUGUUUUCUGUUUUUUUUUUUCUAUACACUUGAUCUUCUAGAAAGAUCACAUAUUCUUUCUUUUUUUUGGCUAUGUUUUUGGUUAUGUUUACGUUUAAAAACAAAAACUACUCUUUAGUGUUUGUUUGUUGAUUAAAAAUGUGAAUAUUUUGAUUUGUAGCAGUAAUAUUAUGAAUUGUAUUUUUGUAAUUUAUAUGUUAAAGGGUCUUUGUUUCUUUUUUGCCCUAGGACCUAUAAGAUGUUUGAGCGGCCCUUUAUAUGACAAAUAUUUAUUGUAGCAAACUUAUUAGACAAACCAACGGUUAUACUAACUAUAGAGCUUAGCAACUUGUGAAAAAUGUUGAUCAUUGUGAUUUAAUAGUUCUCAAUUUCUCAUUAACCUUUUGAGGUUGUUAAGAGUAAUUCUCUCCUAACUUUUUGAGGUUUUUAAGAGUAAUUCCCUUUUAAUAAGAAAGGGAUUUAUGACGUGAGAGUAGUUCUAAAUAAUAUUUUGAAAUGAGUAUAUGCAUUAGUAUUUACAGUUUUGUUAUAUGAUAUAAAAAUAUGAAUGACACACAUUUGUACUCUCUGAAAACGAAAGGGAAAUGUUUCGGGUGCUUUGAAUCACUUUUGAGUUUAUGGUCAAACUCAGUAACAUACUCGUUUUUUUUAUAUAUGUAGGUUAUGGAAAAGUUAAAUGUUUCUGGUGCUUUGAAUCUUCUAUAUGAAACCCGAAUUGCAUGUGUCGAUUGUUUUGGAAAUAUGCUUGAUAUAUUUUUUUGUAGUAUUUUCCUUUUUGUAUUUUUUUUUAAGAAAAAGCCAGUGGCAUGGUACUGUAAUUAUAGGGAAAAACUAAGGGUAGAAUCCUAUAAGAGAUUUUGCUUUAAUAGUAUAGAUAAAAAGAGAAAAAAAACUAAGGGUUGUUGUUCUACAUCUCCUUGAAGAGGUCUUGACUCCUCCUCUCUCUACUUCUUCCUCAUUCUUGUGUGCGGGGUGGCUCUGGAACGGGAUUUUGUCUCCGCAUCUCCUGUAAGCUUGUUCUGUCUAACCAUCUGGAAAAAAAAAUUUCAUUAUUAACCAUCUAAAAAGAAAACAUAUAAAUCGAUAAUUAACAUUUAAAACUCAUCAUCAUAUAUUAUCAACAAAUUCCAUAAACAUAUCUACAAAUUCCCUACACUAACCACCUAACCAACCUAAUUACACUAAACUAACCACCUAAGCUAAACUAGAGAGGAAGUAGACAGGAGUACCUUGCUAUGCGGAGGAGAGGAAGUGACUACGAAAUGAGAAGUUAGAUGGUUCGAGUAUAUAUAGAGUUUUAUAUUUUGUCAUAAAAUCCUCGUGAAAUUACGAGGAAGUAACAAGGUCCGUCUUUUCAUUUUUAAUUUUCGUCGUAAAUUUACGAGGAUAUAACAAGGCCCGUGUUUUUUUACGAGUAGUUUACGACGAAGUGUUUUUAAAUUUUAUCGUAAACACCUCGCUAAUUUACGAAAAAAUAACAAGGCCUAUUUUUUUUCUUUUUACGAGGAAGUAGCAAGGUCCGUGUUUUUUCUUUUACGAGGACUUUACGAGGAAUAUAUGUAAAUCCCUAAAACCCGAAACCCCCAAUUUCUUUACGCAAAAUCAAAUUAUAUAAUUUAAUUUUCAUGAUUAAACAAACUAAACACAUGCAUUUUUAAUUUUCGUUGUAAAGUCCACGUAAACUUACGAAGAAAUAACAAGGCCCACGUUUUCUUUUUACGAGUAGUUUACGACGAAGUGUUUUUAAAUUUCGUCGAAAAGACCUCGUUAUUUUAUGAGGAAAUAACAAGGCCCAUGUUUUUUUUAUGAGGAUUUUACGAGAAAGAUAUGUAAAUCCUUAUAACCCGAAACCCCAAACCCCAAGUUCCUUAACUUAUAAUCUCAAUCUCUUCUUCCCAAAUCCCAAACCCCCAAUUGCCUUACACAAAAUCAAAUUAUAUAAUUUAAUUUUCAUGAUUAAACAAACCAAACACAUGCAUUAAGUCUGACAGUAAAUCAUUUAAAAAAAAUUACAUCAUCAUUCGGAUACAUCAUUGACAUUCUCGUCAUCACUAGAAACAUCAUCAUUUCCAUUAAACUCGUCUUCAACAACUUCGUCAGUGGUAUCGUCGGGAAGAUUUUCGUACUCAUGAUUAUGCGGAUCAAUGAGAAGGAUGUCAUCAGUUUGUUGUUCAGGUUCCUUGACUUCAUUGAUGUGUUCUUCUUGAAAAGGUUGUUCUUCUCCACCGAUUGUUCGUCCACUAGGUGUAACUUUGAUAACGGCUAACCAAUUUAUUUCUAAUUCUCUCAACCGAGGGUAUGGAAGAAAAUAUAGUUAGCUAGCCGAAACAAAAACGUGUUCAACUAAAAAGUUGGUGCACUCAAGAUAUCGACUCUAAAUAAACGUAAAAUAUUUCGUCGUAAAGUGCUCGUUAUAUUUACGUCUACUUUACGACGAAACCUUGUUUCCUCGUAAAAACCAUGUUAAAUUGCGUCGUUUUUACGAUGAAACUUUAUUGUCGUUACUUUACGACGAAAUUAUGUAGAUUUAUUUUUUCCUCUUAAGAUACUCGUAAAGAAGAAUUAAUUUUACAAGGACUUUUUUUCCUUGUUAUUUUUCGUCAUUAAAAUUGUGUUUUCUUGUUGUGAAAAUAAUUUAUAAAUUUUGUAAAAAAAAAUAUUUUGUUAGGAAAAAAAUUGAAAUCAUGUAAUUAUAAAAAGUUGCAAGUGAUAUAAAUUAAAAUAUAAUAAAAUUGAAUUAUUUUCAACAUAGAUAAGUGAAAGUAGUGAAUCAUAAUAUUCUUUGGUUUAAGGUUUGACAACAUAUGUUGUAUUAUUAUAUGUAUUCUUAGGGUUAGAUUUUGGAAGCUUAACAUUUUUUAAAUUUUUUUUUUUUUGACAUAUAUAUGUUUAGUUUUGUAUAUUAAACACUUUCAAAUAAGUCUUAUAGGAAGUCUUCUAUUAGAAGACUUACUUGAAAGUCUUCUGAAUCGAAAAAAUAUAACCUUAUUGAAAUUUUUGUCUCCCUUUAUAAAGAAAAUUUACACAUUUGCUCUAUUCCUCUCAAAUAACUGCAAAAAAUGUAAUGUUUCUCAUUCUAAAACUCGUCAACCUCUCUCUAAUCUAUUUAAUCUUUAAACACGAAACUUUAUAUCAAUUAAUAGUUAUUUCAUGUCUUCUCACUAAUUUAUUUUGUUUUUGCAGGUUUUUAUUAUAUGGUUCUCAUCUUCUACUCUCUUAAAGGUAGAUCUAUAAAUCAUAUUUUCUUAUUUGGUAACUUAUUGUUUCUUAAAGCUCUUACUUUUUGAAAACUCUUUUGGUUGUUCUAAGCUCGUACCUUUAUUUUAAAGUUUUUCUAUGGUUUGAAGUCAUUUGAAUGCUUUUGGAUAUGCAGGUUUUUCAAUUCUGAGACAGACGUGGAAGACUUCCAAGGAAGUAUUCUCUUCUCAGAAGUCUUCUAAUAUUUAAUGCGCUAGAAGACUAAAGUCGCUGGAGAAGACUUAUGGCGUAGUCUUCUCCUAUGUAUCCUCUUUCAUUUCAGAUCUGAGUGUUUUGUUAAGUUUAUAUGUCUUUUUUUUUCCUUUGGUAGCUCUAGUUGCUUAAAGCUCUUAUCUUUUUCAUAAUUUAUCAUUUUUUUGUAAACACCAAAACUUUAUAUCAAUUUAUCAUUUUUUUUGUCUCAUGUCAUUCUCACUAAUUCAUCUUGUUUUGUAGGUUUUUCAGUACAUGGUUCUCAUCUUCCACUCCUUUAAAGAUAGAUCUAUAAAUCAUAUUUUGUUAUUUGGUAACUUCUUGUUGCUUAAAUCUCUUACUUUUUGAAAAUUCUUUUGGUUGUUUUAAGCUCUUCCCUUAUUUUUGAAGUUUUUCUUUGUUUUAAAACCAUUUGAAUGCUUUGGAUAUGAAGGUUUUUUUAUAUCUGAGACAAACCAUUUGAAUGCUUUGGAUAUGAAGUUUUUCUUCUCAGAUGUCUUCUAACAUUUAAUGCACUAGACGACUUCCUGGAAGUCUUCUGACAAAGUCUUCUCUCAUGUCAAGUGGAGUCUAAGCUUGUCUUUGUGGAGGAAUGAGCAAUAAUUGUUUUAUUUAUGGUCUGUUUUGUAAUUUGUAUUUGUACUCUUUUAGUUGUGAAUUAUUUUGUACAUUGAAAAGAUAUUAAUAAUAUUGGUAAAUAUGUUCAUCUCUACAAUAUUAUCUUGCCAAAAGUACUUGACAUUAUUGAAGUUAUUGAUACAAUUUCAAAAGCAAACCACAAUAAUACAAAA